rnacentral:rRNA from 1 species
GAUGAACGCUGGCGGCGUGCCUAAUACAUGCAAGUCGAGCGAACAGAUGAGGAGCUUGCUCCUCUGACGUUAGCGGCGGACGGGUGAGUAACACGUGGAUAACCUACCUAUAAGACUGGGAUAACUUCGGGAAACCGGAGCUAAUACCGGAUAAUAUAUUGAACCGCAUGGUUCAAUAGUGAAAGACGGUUUUGCUGUCACUUAUAGAUGGAUCCGCGCCGCAUUAGCUAGUUGGUAAGGUAACGGCUUACCAAGGCAACGAUGCGUAGCCGACCUGAGAGGGUGGUCGGCCACACUGGAACUGAGACACGGUCCAGACUCCUACGGGAGGCAGCAGUAGGGAAUUUUCCGCAAUGGGCGAAAGCCUGACGGAGCAACGCCGCGUGAGUGAUGAAGGUCUUCGGAUCGUAAAACUCUGUUAUUAGGGAAGAACAAAUGUGUAAGUAACUAUGCACGUCUUGACGGUACCUAAUCAGAAAGCCACGGCUAACUACGUG